AGUGACGGUACCUGCAGAAGAAGCACCGGCUAACUAUGUGCCAGCAGCCGCGGUAAUACAUAGGGUGCAAGCGUUGUCCGGAAUUAUUGGGCGUAAAGAGCUCGUAGGUGGUUCGUCACGUCGGAUGUGAAACUCUGGGGCUUAACCCCAGACCUGCAUUCGAUACGGGCGAGCUUGAGUAUGGUAGGGGAGUCUGGAAUUCCUGGUGUAGCGGUGGAAUGCGCAGAUAUCAGGAGGAACACCAAUGGCGAAGGCAGGACUCUGGGCCAUUACUGACACUGAGGAGCGAAAGCGUGGGGAGCGAACAGGAUUAGAUACCCUGGUAGUCCACGCCGUAAACGGUGGGCACUAGUUGUGGGGACCUUCCACGGUCUCUGCGACGCAGCUAACGCAUUAAGUGCCCCGCCUGGGGAGUACGAUCGCAAGAUUAAAACUCAAAU
rnacentral:rRNA from 1 species